UGCGUGCCGAAGGUGCGGGCGGAUCGCGAUCUCCUGCGGCCGCCGCCGCUGCCGCUGCUGCCGCUUUCCGCUCCACAACUUCCUGGAGCUGCUCGAACCGAGCCUCCUAGCGCUGCAUCGCGCCUAAUAUUGCAGCGACCUGCUCCCGCAGCUCCUGCACCUCCUCCGAUCUUGGCUGCUCGGGCUCCGCAGAAGGCGGUACCGGAGCAGACCUACGUGCAUAACGUCUUGGGGACAUUGCUCCUGAAAAGCAACAACUCGGUUAGUUAUCUCAAUCCGAUAAUUUCCUCAACGUUCGCAAAACUAAACGACUCAACAACGAAAUCGGGCGGAAGCUCUCAAGUGUUCUGGUUCUGGACUCUUAGCGUCGCGUCGUCGGCCGCCGACACAACCACUACGAGCCAAGAACUAGUGUCACUUGGAUCCGUCUCUAUUCAUAGCUAGAGACACAACAUCAACUUUGACCCAAUCAAUCAACUCCCGCCACCGCCAUGGGUUCACGUUCGCUCACGUCCCUAUAACCUUAGGGUUUGCCAACCUAGGGUCUCCUAAGUCAUCCUAGACUCUCUCUUUACUUGCUCUGGUGCUCUGAUACCACUUUAUCUGUCACGCCCCGAGACCGCUACCAAUUUGGUCCGGCCCGGGCGCGUCGAACAGACGCCGAACGGACAGGACCUCCCCUGUCCGCCCAAGGCUAACCAACAGAUCAUGUAUAAGAAUUUACCCAGGAAUCAAUUCAUAAAUACACGAUCAAGAAGCACCACCAGUGCUACAAACAAGAGCAAGNNN
rnacentral:lncRNA from 1 species